rnacentral:rRNA from 1 species
AGGGAUUGCCCCAGUAACGGCGAGUGAAGCGGCAACAGCUCAAAUUUGAAAUCUGGCCCCAGGCCCGAGUUGUAAUUUGCAGAGGAUGCUUUUGGCGCGGUGCCUUCCGAGUUCCCUGGAACGGGACGCCAUAGAGGGUGAGAGCCCCGUACGGUUGGACACCAAGCCUUUGUAAAGCUCCUUCGACGAGUCGAGUAGUUUGGGAAUGCUGCUCUAAAUGGGAGGUACAUUUCUUCUAAAGCUAAAUAUUGGCCAGAGACCGAUAGCGCACAAGUAGAGUGAUCGAAAGAUGAAAAGCACUUUGAAAAGAGGGUUAAACAGCACGUGAAAUUGUUAAAAGGGAAGCGCUUGUGACCAGACUUGCGUCCGGUGAAUCACCCAGCUCUCGCGGCUGGGGCACUUCGCCGGCACAGGCCAGCAUCAGCUUGCCGUCGGGGACAAAAGCUUCAGGAACGUAGCUCCUCUCGGGGAGUGUUAUAGCCUGUUGUAUAAUACCCUUCGGCGGGCUGAGGUACGCGCUCCGCAAGGAUGCUGGCGUAAUGGUCAUCAGCGACCCGUCUUG